rnacentral:rRNA from 1 species
UACGUAGGGGGCGAGCGUUGUCCGAAUUUACUGGGCGUAAAGAGCGCGUAGGCGGGCUGUUAAGUGAGAGGUGAAAGGUUCAGGGCUCAACCCGAACAGUGCCUUUCAUACUGGCGGCCUUGAGUAUGGGAGAGGCGAGUGGAAUUUCUGGUGUAGCGGUGAAAUGCGUAGAUAUCAGAAGGAACACCCAUGGCGAAGGCAGCUCGCUGGCCUAUAACUGACGCUGAGGCGCGAAAGCGUGGGGAGCAAACGGG